CUGACGGGGAAUGGGAAUUCAGCUGCUAAGCAGGGAGCAGCAUAGAACAAGUGGUUUCGAAUCUAAAGCAAGGCAGACCUUACUUUCAUCCCCACCUGGCUAGUUCUGGGCUGCAGGGAUUUCGGCGAGCGGUCUGCUUCCCUGUCACCUGGGUCUCCUUAUCUGGAUGAUGGCCAUAACAGUGCCCACCUCGUGGACAGCCAUGGGGCUGAGAUGAGGUCACGAGUGCGGAGUGCUCAGCAUGGUGCCUGGCCGGUCCCUGCUCAGUGAAUGAAAUAUGAAGUAUAAAAGCGUAUCUACUUAGAAAUGCCAUCAUUUAGAAGAACAUAGAAGAUAGAAGAAAACCUGGUUUGAGGCGGUGGUGGAUGAAAUUGCUGUUCAGAAUAGCCUGUCCAGGGGAGGCUUGCUCCUCCCACUCCAGCUUGGCCAUCCAGCUUGGUCCGGGACUUCCUUGGGCCUUAGGAUGAUGCGCGCACUUCCAAGCUUGUCCCUUGACUUCAGGUCUGGCCAUCUUGCUUUGCUUGGGCCAAGGAGGUGGUAGCAGGCACGUCGCAAGCAGAGACUGGAAAUGUAAUUGUAUGGCUCUACCCUAACAUGGGGCUUGAACUCACGACCCCAGCAAGAGUCUCAUGCUCCACUGAUUGAGCCAGCCAGGUGCCCCAGCUGCACAGGUGUUUCAUUCCACAAAGGGCACAGGCCAGCAUGGCUACCCCAGGAAGCCGUGUGUUGGGUCCUUAGAGCUAUCCAAGACCUUCUUGAGGUAGGAGAAGCUGUGGGAUUUGGCUGGGCAGGCAUGCUUCUGCUUCUUCCUGUAAGACCGUGAGGUCUGCACAGAGGCCAUAGUGACGUGGACAACAUCCGCCCCCUUCUUCCUGGGGACUAAGAGCUGCUGAGGGGAUCAGAUGAGAGAAUGUGUGGAAGUGUCUCGUGGAAGUGUCCUGCAUGCACUCCAUAAACGCCAGCUGUUGGUGACAGAUAUGUAACAGAGACCUGCGGAGAACGUUUUGUGAAGACAGAGACAAAGGUGAGGGAGGAAGGAGUUUGGGUAAGAUCCAAGGCCAUUGGAGGAGAGUAAAGACGGAGGAAAUAGUAGUCACAAGGAAGCACAUGGAAAAUUCUGGAAAAAAGGAGAACUAGCAGGGACGUAUAUAUGAGCUAUGUGCUUCUCAUUAAGAGAAGCUAGGUUCAGAAGUUAGGUUAUGGGGACACCUAUGUGGCUCAGCAGUUGAGCAUCUGUGUUUGGCUCGGAGCGUGAUCCUGGGGUUCCAGGUUGGAGUCCCACAUCGGGCUUCCUGCAUGGAGUCUGCUUCUUCC